CUCAAAUAAAUAUGCUUGGAAGACAACUGCUGACUUCUGGUUCACUCUGUGACAAAGGCAGGAAGAAUGAUGUAAACCAUAGGGUGUGCUUGCAUCAUCUGGGUCAGGUCAUACAGGGUGCGGAAGGCAGGGCUUCGGCCUUCCUGAGCUAUGGCAAUGCGAGUCACAGGACAGUGACGCAACGUUCACGCAUGAGCUUCAUUCUCCGCCUGCCACAGCCCGUCGGAAAAUGUGACAUGGGAAGAACCCACGUCUUCUCCAGUAAGCAGGGCAAGAGGACACAGGAUGGCGUUGAGGUGAGAUGGGCCUCUGCUGCGCUGGUGACAUCUGCUGUGACACUCAGAUGACAAGAUGCCAGCACAGAGAAGGCAAGAGUGAAGGCAUUUAGACAAGAGCACAACUGCAAAGGCCCUAAAUACAGGCUGCCUACGGAUCAAGAUGUAGAACUCUCAGCUCCUUCUCUGGCACCAUGUCUGCCUG